rnacentral:rRNA from 1 species
UGAUUGAUGGUGCUUGCACCUGAUUGAUUUUGGUCGCCAACGAGUGGCGGACGGGUGAGUAACACGUAGGUAACCUGCCCAGAAGCGGGGGACAACAUUUGGAAACAGAUGCUAAUACCGCAUAACAGCGUUGUUCGCAUGAACAACGCUUAAAAGAUGGCUUCUCGCUAUCACUUCUGGAUGGACCUGCGGUGCAUUAGCUUGUUGGUGGGGUAACGGCCUACCAAGGCGAUGAUGCAUAGCCGAGUUGAGAGA